UCGAGGGGUAGAGUUAGCUUGCUAACUUGAGACCGGCGCACGGGUGCGUAACGCGUAUGCAAUCUACCUUAUACUCAGGGAUAGCCCGGAGCAAUCCGGAUUAAUACCUUAUAGUAUAUUAAAGUGGCAUCAUUUUAAUAUUAAAGAUUUAUUGGUAUAAGAUGAGCAUGCGUCCCAUUAGUUAGUUGGUGUGGUAACGGCACACCAAGACGAUGAUGGGUAGGGGUCCUGAGAGGGAGAUCCCCCACACUGGUACUGAGACACGGACCAGACUCCUACGGGAGGCAGCAGUGAGGAAUAUUGGUCAAUGGAGGCAACUCUGAACCAGCCAUGCCGCGUGCAGGAUGACGGUCCUAUGGAUUGUAAACUGCUUUUGUACAGGAAGAAAAAGAGCUACGUGUAGUUUAUUGACGGUACUGUAAGAAUAAGGAUCGGCUAACUCCGUGCCAGCAGCCGCGGUAAUACGGAGGAUCCAAGCGUUAUCCGGAAUCAUUGGGUUUAAAGGGUCCGUAGGCGGCUAUAUAAGUCAGCGGUGAAAGUUUUUGGCUUAACCAAAAAAUUGCCGUUGAUACUGUAUUGCUUGAAUUUUUGUGAAGUAACUAGAAUAUGUAGUGUAGCGGUGAAAUGCUUAGAUAUUACAUGGAAUACCAAUUGCGAAGGCAGGUUACUAACAAACGAUUGACGCUGAUGGACGAAAGCGUGGGUAGCGAACAGGAUUAGAUACCCUGGUAGUCCACGCCGUANACGAUGGAUACUAGUUGUUGGAUUNU
rnacentral:rRNA from 1 species